UCCAGAGGGGGCAAGCGUUAUUCGGAAUUAUUGGGCGUAAAGAGCGUGUAGGCGGCCUUACAGGUCAGCUGUGAAAACUCGAGGCUCAACCUCGAGACGUCGGUUGAAACCGUAAGGCUAGAGUCCGGAAGAGGAGAGUGGAAUUCCCGGUGUAGCGGUGAAAUGCGCAGAUAUCGGGAAGAACACCCGUGGCGAAGGCGGCUCUCUGGGACGGUACUGACGCUGAGACGCGAAAGCGUGGGGAGCGAACAGG
rnacentral:rRNA from 1 species